rnacentral:rRNA from 1 species
GGUGAACGCUGGCGGCGUGCUUAACACAUGCAAGUCGAACGGAAAGGCUCCUGCUUGCAGGGGUACUCGAGUGGCGAACGGGUGAGUAACACGUGGGUGAUCUGCCCUGCACUUCGGGAUAAGCCUGGGAAACUGGGUCUAAUACCGGAUAGGACCACAUUUUGGAUGGUGUGGUGGAAAGUUUUUCGGUGUGGGAUGAGCUCGCGGCCUAUCAGCUUGUUGGUGGGGUAAUGGCCUACCAAGGCGUCGACGGGUAGCCGGCCUGAGAGGGUGUACGGCCACAUUGGGACUGAGAUACGGCCCAGACUCCUACGGGAGGCAGCAGUGGGGAAUAUUGCACAAUGGGCGCAAGCCUGAUGCAGCGACGCCGCGUGGGGGAUGACGGCCUUCGGGUUGUAAACUCCUUUCGCUAGGGACGAAGCGCAAGUGACGGUACCUGGAGAAGAAGCACCAGCUAACUACGUG